GACGUAGGGUGCGAGCGUUGUCCGGAUUUAUUGGGCGUAAAGAGCUCGUAGGCGGCUCGUCGCGUCAGCUGUGAAAACCCGCAGCUUAACUGUGGGCUUGCAGCUGAUACGGGCGGGCUAGAGUUCGGUAGGGGAGACUGGAAUUCCUGGUGUAGCGGUGAAAUGCGCAGAUAUCAGGAGGAACACCGGUGGCGAAGGCGGGUCUCUGGGCCGAUACUGACGCUGAGGAGCGAAAGCGUGGGGAUCAAACAGG
rnacentral:rRNA from 1 species